rnacentral:rRNA from 1 species
GGGGAAUAUUGGACAAUGGACCAAGAGUCUGAUCCAGCAAUUCUGUGUGCACGAUGACGUUUUUCGGAAUGUAAAGUGCUUUCAGUUGGGAAGAAAAAAAUGACGGUACCAACAGAAGAAGUGACGGCUAAAUACGUGCCAGCAGCCGCGGUAAUACGUAUGUCACAAGCGUUAUCCGGAUUUAUUGGGCGUAAAGCGCGUCUAGGUGGUUAUGUAAGUCUGAUGUGAAAAUGCAGGGCUCAACUCUGUAUUGCGUUGGAAACUGUGUAACUAGAGUACUGGAGAGGUAAGCGGAACUACAAGUGUAGAGGUGAAAUUCGUAGAUAUUUGUAGGAAUGCCGAUGGGGAAGCCAGCUUACUGGACAGAUACUGACGCUGAAGCGCGAAAGCGUGGGUAGCAAACAGGAUUAGAUACCCUGGUAGUCCACGCCGUAAACGAUGAUUACUAGGUGUUGGGGGUCGAACCUCAGCGCCCAAGCAAACGCGAUAAGUAAUCCGCCUGGGGAGUACGUGCGCAAGUAUG